rnacentral:lncRNA from 10 species
GAGGCUGCAUGUCAGAAUGCCUGAGGACAGCCUGGCUGCAGAGCCAUUUAUCACCUGCAGCAAUUCCAGGAAUGUGGAAAUAGGCCAAAGUCAGAAAAGCUUGGAGGGUGGGAGGCCAAGAGAUCCCCCCAACCCCUUUUUUCAAGAAGUAGAGAAGCCCAGAGCCUUGGCACCUGGGAUGUGUGUUACCUGAAGAAUCAGACUCAUGGAGCGUGGGCUAACUUUUGCUUUUAGAGGAUGCCCACCACGUGCCUGGCACUGUGCAGUGAACUUCACACCUGGCCAUCUGGGGCUAAAGCUUGUGCAGUGAUGCCCUGUGCUUUCUUCAAACCUGAGCCAGGCUGGGGCCAAGCUGUCUGCCUAACACCCUGCAUAGCUCCCGCCUGCUGAGAGGAAAAGUGGAAUUCUCACAGAGGCCACAGCCCUGACUGAGCCAGGUCUCCUCCAGUCUCCCUCCUGCUCACUCUGCUCCAGCUGCUGCCCUGAGCCUGCCUCAGGGCCUUUGCCCCUGCUGUUUCUUCUGCCUGGGGCCAGGACUCUGUCCUUGGGGACAGAGAUGUAAAACAGCCCUACAGGGACUGGGGACCAUGAUGAAUUCUCCAGCUGCUCCUUGAAGCCUAUCUCCAGCC